AAAAAGACAAACCCAGGGUUUCCGUGUCCAACGUUUGACUGUCCGUCUUAUAUGAAUUUUUUUUAUAAUUAGUGUUUUCAUUGUUGUUAGAUGAUAAAACAUGAUUAAUACUUUAUGCGUGACUUGUCUUUUUAAUUUUUUUCAUAUUUUUUUUCAAAUAAGACAGACGGUCAAACGUUGGAUACAGAAACCCAGGGUUUGUCUUUUU
rfam:Oryza glumipatula chromosome 3, whole genome shotgun sequence.